rnacentral:rRNA from 1 species
UACGUAGGGGGCAAGCGUUGUCCGGAAUCAUUGGGCGUAAAGCGCGUGUAGGCGGCUCGGUAAGUCCGCUCUGAAAGCCCGGGGCUCAACCCCGGGAGGCGGGUGGAUACUGCUGAGCUCGAGUCCGGAAGAGGCGAGUGGAAUUCCUGGUGUAGCGGUGAAAUGCGCAGAUAUCAGGAGGAACACCAAUGGCGAAGGCAGCUCGCUGGGACGGUACUGACGCUGAGACGCGAAAGCGUGGGGAGCAAACAGG